rnacentral:rRNA from 1 species
ACAGGGAUUGCCCUAGUAACGGCGAGUGAAGCGGCAACAGCUCAAAUUUGAAAUCUGGCUCUUUUAGGGUCCGAGUUGUAAUUUGCAGAGGGCGCUUUGGCGUUGGCAGCGGUCCAAGUUCCUUGGAACAGGACGUCACAGAGGGUGAGAAUCCCGUACGUGGUCGCUGGCCUUCGCCGUGUAAAGCCCCUUCGACGAGUCGAGUUGUUUGGGAAUGCAGCUCUAAAUGGGAGGUAAAUUUCUUCUAAAGCUAAUACUGGCCAGAGACCGAUAGCGCACAAGUAGAGUGAUCGAAAGAUGAAAAGCACUUUGGAAAGAGAGUCAAAUAGCACGUGAAAUUGUUGAAAGGGAAGCGCUUGCAGCCAGACUUGCCUGUAGUUGCUCAUCUGGGCUUUUGUCCAGUGCACUCUUCUACAGGCAGGCCAGCAUCAGUUGGGCGGUGGAUAAAGGUCUCUGUCACGUACCUCCCUUUGGGGAGGCUUAUAGGGGAGACGACAUGCAACCAGCCUGGACUGAGGUCCGCGCAUCUGCUAGGAUGCUGGCGUAAUGGCUGUAAGCGGCCCGUCUUGAAACACGGACCAAGGAGUCUAACAUCUAUGCGAGUGUUUGGGUGUCAAGCCCGGACGCGUAAUGAAAGUGAACGGAGGUGGGAACCCUUUUAGGGUGCACCAUCGACCGAUCCUGAUGUCUUCGGAAGGAUUUGAGUAAGAGCAUGGCUGUUGGGACCCGAAAGAUGGUGAACUAUGCUUGAAUAGGGUGAAGCCAGAGGAAACUCUGGUGGAGGCUCGCAGCGGUUCUGACGUGCAAAUCGAUCGUCAAAUUUGGGCAUAGGGGCGAAAGACUAAUCGAACUAUCUAGUAGCUGGUUCCUGCCGAAG